AGCGAGGAAAAUUUGGGAAGGACAAUUUUCCUCCGUGAAAAAUAAUAAUCGCAUCAGAUAAAACGAAACAAUAUUCAUCUGCGAGCGGACAAGAUGGCUCGGAAUGCAAAAACCCUCACCGAAAACGAUCUAAUCGACACCUUCCUUCCGCUAUCCGCUGCCGUUAAAUCUCCACCGGUAUACAAUCACGCUGCUAACAAUGCUGGAGGUUGUCUUCUGUCCUCAACCCUGCAUC